GUUAAUAUCCAUAUUCAUUUUUUCCUGAUAUGUGAUUACCCCCAACAUAUAGGCAACUAAGUUGAUUGGAUAAAUUGCCUACGAAAUUUGUCAAUUUGGCUCCAAAAUUAUUAUUGCAUAUAGAAAUCACUUGUAGUCUACUACAAUUCGUCAAGGACUUUAAGAACUCCAAAUCCUUAGUUGAGUUGUCACCUAAACUGUUGAAUUCCAGACUUAGCGUCUUAGUCGUUGAAGAUCAUGUAACUUCCCUAGAUUUGAACUUGUCCUACCAAAAUGUUUUGAUGACCUAAGUUAAGUGUUUGUAGAGAUGAAUCAUUUGCAAGUGAAAUAGGGAUUAGACCUGAGAUUGGAGAGGGUGUUGAACAUACUGGGUGGAAAAGAGCCAUUAAAAUAAUUGAGUGCAACUGAUACAAUAGUAAGGGGUUGCAUGUGAUUCCAUGCCAAUUGCAGAAGUGUGUUAAACUAUUCCAAGAGG
rnacentral:lncRNA from 1 species